UCUGCCCCUAGAGACAUUGCAGAUGUGGCUGCCCUGUCACAUUUGUGUCAUUAGGUGGCAGAGAGAAGAGAGACUUGUCUACGCUCGGCGUUCUGGCCUGUGGACGUCUGGAUGAUUGAUAGUCUGACUUG
rnacentral:snoRNA from 1 species